GUUUGGCCAUAACUUGCUCUGGCUUUUGAAAUGCAAAAUACCAAACAAUGUUCAGUACCAAAAUGGGACAUAGUUGUUUAACACUAUGGUUAGCUGCACUGAAGCCAUUUUGUUCCUCCUGUCAGGUAGAAGUGUUCAAAGCCAGUAUGUGGUUCGCCAUGCUCUCUUUUCCCAUACAACUGCAAGCAGGGUUCCAAACAGAGGCGUCACUGUCAGCCUGGGUUCAAGGUUGAAGAUGAAACUGAGUAGAGCCACAGCCAACCAACCGUGCUCCUCUAGCACGAGCUGUGCCUUUGUUAUUAUAAGCUGCUGAGAUCUGAUGGUUGUUUGUUACCGAGCAUAUGCUCGCCCAUCCUGACUAGGCUUGAGUCCUGGCUUGGCCUCUUCCUAGCUAUGUGACCUUGGACAAAUUAUUUCAUUGCUCUGCACUUAUUUUCUUUAUUUGUAAAACAGAGAUGAUACGUAAAAUUCCUGCAAAUCAUUUCCCAGAAGCAAGGGGAGAAUUAGACUCCACCUCUUGAUGGGAAAGCAGCAAGUCACACUGCAGAAGAAUCUGUGGGACGGAAGCUAUUAUUGUGGCUGUCUUUGGAGGAUGCAAUCUGCCACAGUGGGGAGUUGGCAGCACUUGACUCUGUGACCCGCCAGAAUCUGUGACUGCCUCACACAAGCUCCAUUUUGAGCGGCCCCCAGGACUCCUGCUCCUGUCGCGUCACGCAGUCGGCUGCCUGUUGUGAUCCUGGAAACCCGCUUAGUUCAGUCCAUUGAUGUGAAUUUCUGGGAGCAAUUUGGCCACUUUGUUUCUUAUUUUUCCAGCCCUUUCCUUAACACUUUCUAUUCGCAAAAUAUUUGCUUAAAGCAAUAGUGUCAAUCAUUAAUGUUCCUAAGUAUUCCACAGUGAGCUUGCUAGAAAUACCAGGCCCUCUUCUCUGUCUUUAGAUUCUGAUCUAAUAAGAUCAGAUCGAAUAGUAGAGUGCUAGUGAUACUGAUGAAGGAAGUCCAAGGGUUGCACUUCGGGGAAAAAUGGCUUACAUGUAUGAGGGGUGGAGGUAAUGAAGGAUAGCCCUCAAUCCUGCCUGCUCUCUUGCUCUGUUGGGGAAGCCUCAGUGGAAUGUAGGAAGUUUGCCCAUGCCUUGUACAAUGGAUGGAAUACUACUCAGCAAUAAAAAGGGACUGACUGCUGAUACCCAGAACAGGGAUGAAUCUCAGAAGAACUCGACCGAGUGAAAGAAGUCACACAUAAGAGUGCAGACGAUAGAAACGGGAUCAGCGGUUAUUUGUGGGAGCGAGGGGGAUUGACUGGGAGGGGAUUUGAGGCAACUCUGGUGAUACAAAUGUCUGUGUCUUGAUUGACAAGGGUGUGCAUUACAGGAGUAUAUGCCUUUGUCAAAAUCUAUCCAACUGUACGUUUACGAUCUGUGCUUUUCAUUGUAUACAAACUAUCUUAAAUGUUUUAACUUGACUAUACCCGUUUUGGGUAACGAUAAAAUUAUUUUUACCAAUUUUUUUUUAUCAAUUUGUAUCCCUUAAAAGCAUGCAAAAGGCAAAACAAAACCUGUUGAGAUAGAAAGUGAUCUAACAAAGUAUUGCAAACAUGGUGCGCACUCAAUAAAAAUGUAUUCACG
rnacentral:lncRNA from 1 species